CAUGUCGGUUGGCAUCGAUGCCUGAAUGGGAGGUUUCCCAUGCGGUGCCAUCUCACGCUAGAACUUGUCUCUCAAAUGUUAUGGUGAGGGACGGCACCGUACACGGGCUUUUGUGUGUCACCAGGCUGGCAGCAGGGCAGCAGAGAAGAGACCAGGAUCCAGGCCCAGAGCACCCAGCUGAGUCCUGGAAGACGACGGCGCAGUUCUUCUAUCUCUCGAUGCACCUCGUCCUCCCCAUUGGUCUACAGCGUCCUGGUGGGGGAUAAGCAGACCCGCUACAACCUGAGGAACCGGAGGAGCUGUGCUGUGUUGGACCAGGACUGAGACGGACCGAGGAUGGGCGAAGUGAAAGUCAACGCUAGUGCUCUUCAGAGUAGGAUGGGAAUCACAGGAUUUAUGCUUGAACCUGAAUCUGGUGUUUAUUAGCCACUGUUUCGUCUAUUUUUAUUCAAUCAAAGAUCACAAACAUUGAGUUCAGUGACAGACAAUGAAACAUCUGUGCCACUUAUUCAGAAGAUAAUGAGUUGUCAUUUAUAUUCUACCCACCUGUCUGAUUCAUAGCAAUGAAGCAGAUGAUCAUCACGUGAUGUUUCAGUAAGGGAAUAUCGUGUGAUGGACAGUGCUGCUUUUCACAAAUGUAAUCACGUAAAGACUCUUUGAAUCUUGUGUAUUUUAAGUGUGUGUGUGUGUGUGUGUGUGUG
ensembl:lncRNA